rnacentral:rRNA from 1 species
CCUACGGGAGGCUGCAGUGAGGAAUAUUGGUCAAUGGACGAGAGUCUGAACCAGCCAAGUAGCGUGAAGGAUGACUGCCCUAUGGGUUGUAAACUUCUUUUAUAUGGGAAUAAAACGUUCCACGUGUGGGAUUUUGUAUGUACCAUAUGAAUAAGGAUCGGCGAACUCCGUGCCAGCAGCCGCGGUAAUACGGAGGAUCCGAGCUUUAUCCGGAUUUAUUGGGUUUAAAGGGAGCGUAGGUGGAUUGUUAAGUCAGUUGUGAAAGUGUGCGGCUCAACCGUAAAAUUGCAGUUGAAACUGGCAGUCUUGAGUACAGUAGAGGUGGGCGGAAUUCCUUGUGUAGCGGUGAAAUGCGUAGAUAUAAGGAAGAACACCAGUGGCGAAGGCGGAUGACUGGACGGCAACUGACGGUGAGGCGCGAAAGCGUGGGGAGCAAACAGGAUUAGAUACCCGAGUAGUC